UACGGGGGGGGCAAGCGUUGUUCGGAAUUACUGGGCGUAAAGGGCUCGUAGGCGGCCAACUAAGUCGGAUGUGAAAUCCCUAGGCUCAACCUAGGAACUGCGUCUGAUACUGGAUGGCUUGAAUCCGGGAGAGGGAUGCAGAAUUCCAGGUGUAGCGGUGAAAUGCGUAGAUAUCUGGAGGAAUACCGGUGGCGAAGGCGGCAUCCUGGACCGGCAUUGACGCUGAGGAGCGAAAGCCAGGGGAGCAAACGGG
rnacentral:rRNA from 1 species